ensembl:lncRNA
AUUUUAUUUUUAUGCAAUGAGUCUCAUGGCAAAGCAAUAGAUCCUUGGCAGCUCUGUUAUACAUCUCUUUUUUUAUUAUAGCUUUUUAUUUACAAGAUAUAUGCAUGGGUACUUUUUCAGCACUGACAACUGCAAAACCUUUUGUUCCAACUUUUCCCUUCCUUCUCCCCCCCUCCUCCCCCAGAUGGCAGGUUGACUAAUACAUGUUAAAUAUGUUAAAAUAUAUGUUAAAUACAAUAUAUGUAUACGUGUCCAUGCAGUUAUUUUGCUGCACAAAAAGAAUCAGACUUUGAAAUAGUGUACAAUUAGCCUGUGAAGGAAAUCAAAAAUGCAGGCGGACAAAAAUAGAAGGAUUGGGAAUUCUAUGUAGCGGUCAUACUCAUUUCCCAGAGUUCUUUCACUGGGCAUAGCUGGUUCAAUUCAUUAUUGCUCUAUUGGAACUGAUUUGGUUCAUCAGAAUUGAUCAUCAUAUAAUAUUGUUGUUGAAGUAUAUAACGUGUAUCAUUGGGUUUUAAGAAAGUAUAACAUUGCCAAAAAAGCUUGCAGGUAGACUAGAUAUUACUGUCCUGAAGAAACAAUGGAAAAAUUCAUUCCCAUGGAGAAAGAAUGUUCUAAGAACAACAAUGGUAGUUCCUGCACCACUUGCAGUACUUGUUCCUAGAAUAUUCCAGUCAUAGCUCAAUUUGCCUCACUAAGUGUACUUUUAUCAUUCUCCUCCCUUUGGGCUUCUCCUUCCCAACUGUAAAAACUCCAUUUGGUUUUUGUUUGUUUGUUUUACUAUUAGACCAUGCCUAUUUACCCUUUCUCAUCUUGAACAAAUGGAAACACUAUAUAGUGGUAAGCAAUACUCUGUGUGAAUUGAGAAUACAGCUAUUGGAUCUGUUUGCCUGUACAUCAGUUCUUUUGUGACCACAGUAAGUAAAAAUUAUAUUAAGUUAUGUCAGAAAAACAAAGUGUUCAAUUUGAAGAACAAAGGAUAGUUUACUUCUCAGAUCUGUGGAGAAGAAAGGAAUUUGUGGCCAAAGAAGAAUUUGAGUAUAUUAUUGAAUGCAAAAUGGAUAAUUUUGAUUAUAUUAAGUUAAAAAGUUUUUGUACAAACAAAACCAAUGUAGACAAGAUUAGAAGGGAAUCAAUAAACUGGGGAAAAUUUUUUACAUUUAAGAGUUCUGAUAAAGGCUUCAUUUCUAAAAUAUAUAGAGAAGUGACUCAAAUUUAUAAGAAUUCAGGGGCAGCGAGGUGGUGCAGUGGAUAGAGCAACAUCCCUGGUCAGGAGGACCAGAGUUCAAAUUUGACCUCAGACCCUUAACAUUUUCUAGCUGUACGAGCCUGAGCAAGUCACUUAAUUCCAAUUGCCUCAGGGGGAAAAAAAUUAAGAAUUCAAGUCAUUCUCCAUUUGAUAAAUGGUCAAAGGAUAUUAACAAUUUUCAGAUGAAGAGGUACUCUAAAUCACUAUUGAUGAGAAUGCAAAUUAAGACAACACUGAAUUAUCAGUACACACCUCUCAGAUUGGCUAAAAUGACAGGAAAAGAUAAUGUUGCAGGGGAUAUGGAAAAGUGGGACACUAAUACAUUGUUGGUGGAAUAGUGAACUGAUUCAACCAUUCUGGAGAGCAAUUUGGAAUUACAUCCAAAAGACUAUCAAACUGUGCAUACCCUUUGAUCCAGCAGUGUUUUCAUUGGGCUUGUGAAAGAGAUCAAAGAGGAAGGGACCCACAUGUGCAAAAAUAUUUGUAGCAGCCCUUUUCAUAGUACAAGAAACUGGAAACUGAGUGGAUGCCCAUCAGUUGGAGAACAGCUGAACAAGUUAUGGUAUUUGAAUCUUAUGGAAUAUUAUUCUACAAAAAAUGAUCCACAGGAUGAUUUCAGAGAAUCCUGGCAAGACUUACAUGAAUUGAUGCUAAGUGAAACAAGCAGAACGAGAUCAUGCACGGCAACAGCAAGAUUAUACAAUGAUCAAUUCUGAUGGAUGUGACUCUCAUCAACAAUGAAGCAAUUCAGACCAGUUCCAGUGGUCUUGUGAUGAGUAAGGCCAUCUGCAUCCAGAGAGAGGACAGUGGAAACUGAAUGUGGGUCACAACAUAGUGUUUUAACUUUUUGCUUGCAUUUUGUUUUCUUUCUCAUUUUUUUCCCCCUUUUUGAUCUGAUUUCUCUGGUACAGCAUGAUAUUUGAGGAAACAUGUGUUUAACAUAUACUGGAUCAUUUGCUAAAUGGGAGGAGGAAAAAAAUUAAAACAUAGGGUUUUGUACAGGUGAAUGUCAAAUAUAAUCCAUGUAUAUAUUUUGAAAAUAAAAAGCUAUAAUUAAAACAAAAACAAAGUGCUCUUCAAAAUCUUGAUGCCCACUACUUGCCCCUAGUCUUCCCCAGCUUCCUAGUCUUCUGUCCUUCAAAGAAAUCUAUAGGGCUUUAGAUCCAGGUGGCAAUUUGGUACAUUCUGUCUUCUCUGACAAAUGCAUUUUUUCCCCUUUCUGACGACACUACAUUUUUAGGCUUUCAUCUCUUGUAAGCUAUGACAUGGAAUGGUCUUCCAGGAAAGACCAUUCAGACACCCAGAUAGUUUGAUACUAAAGAUCGUGUAACGGCUCAUUCACACUUUUUCUUGUAUGGUAUAUGGGUUGGAGAGUAAAAUACAGAGUUGCAGCUUCAAGUAUUUCACUUUCUCAUUGUCAUUUCAUGAAGUUUUUACCUUAAGGGCUGCUUCUGUUUUGCAAAUUUAGCUCUAAUUACUGUAGAUCUGACUCAUACUUUUAAACUGAGAUGAGUUAAUUGUGGAAAAGAAACAUUUCAUCUUAUGGAUCAUACAACUGUAAAUUUUAGGGGAGAAUUAUGGGCUUUGAUCUCUACAAGUUUUAGGGAACAUGGAAUCAUUUUUCAAGGUACCCUUUUUCUAUUAGAUUCCAGAGAAGGAACAUCUAGAAUAUCUCUGAACCCAAGAAUAAUAGUGGCAAUGUCAUAUUCCCUCUUUGCAACAUUCCAUUUAUCUUAGUUGUAGGUUAGGAAUAUUAGUCUGCCAAUAUAUAUACAGGAAGGAAUAGAAAGAAAACAUGCAUGGUAGAUAAUGGAAGGGCCUUAGCCUCUUCAUCCUGCCUCGUUGAUAUAUGAACCUAAUCUUACAACAUUUGAAUUUUAUUUAAAUUUUCAAUUCCAAAUUCUUUCCCCUCUUCCACCCAUUCUCCAAAUCACAAAAGUGGCAAGUAGUAUGAUAUCUAUCAUACAAAUAGUCAGAUAAACAUAUUUCUGCAUAAACCAUAUUCCAGGGAGAAGGAAGGAAUAGAAAAGAAUUAAAAAUAAAGGUAAAAUUAUGUUUAAAAAUAUGAAUUCUGAAUCAAUCAGUUCUCCAUAUGCAGGAUGACAGAAUUUUUCAUGAGUCCUUUGAAGUUGUAUUAUACCACUGUAUUGAUCAGAGUAGCUAAGUCUUUCAGUUAUUACAAUAUUGUUCCUACUGAAUAUACUAUCUUCCUAGAUAGUUAAUUUAUUCACAUUCAGUCAACUAUAACCACCAUAAGUAUAUUCAGUAGAAACAAUAUUAUGCACUGCACUCAUUCUAUUCUCUAUUUCUUGCCUUUUUCAAUCUACUCUCCUUAUCAUUCCCUCAUUCUCUUAACCAAAUGCCAGAAUACCUUUCUUGGACAAAAUUAACAUCCACAUCUAUCUUGUGUAUGUGUCUAUUUCUUCCCUUUUCAAAAUGCUUCAGAUGAGAUUUUCUUUUUUUUUUUUUUUUUUUUUAUUUAAUAGCCUUUUAUUUACAGGAUAUAUACAUGGGUAACUUUACAGCAUUAACAAUUGCCAAACCUCGUUCCAAUUUUUCAUCUCUUACCCCCCCACACCCCCUCCCCUAGAUGGCAGGAUGACCAGUAGAUGUUAAAUAUAUUAAUAUAUAAAUUAGAUACACAAUAAGUAUACAUGACCAAAAUGUUAUUUUGCUGUACAAAAAGAAUCAGACUCUGAAAUAUUGUACAAUUAGGUUGUGAAGGAAAUCAAAAAUGCAGGUGUGCAUAAAUAUAGGGAUUGGGAAUUCAAUGUAAUGGUUUUUAGUCAUCUCCCAGAGUUCUUUUUCUGGGCAUAGCUAGUUCAGUUCAUUACUGCUCCAUUAGAAAUGAUUUGGUUGAUCUCGUUGCUGAGGAUGGCCUGGUCCAUCAGAACUGGUCAUCAUAUAGUAUUGUUGUUGAAGUAUAUAAUGAUCUCCUGGUCCUGCUCAUUUCACUCAGCAUCAGUUCGUGUAAG